rnacentral:rRNA from 1 species
GAUGAACGCUGGCGGCGUGCCUAAUACAUGCAAGUCGAGCGAACGGACGAGAAGCUUGCUUCUCUGAUGUUAGCGGCGGACGGGUGAGUAACACGUGGAUAACCUACCUAUAAGACUGGGAUAACUUCGGGAAACCGGAGCUAAUACCGGAUGAUAUUUUGAACCGCAUGGUUCAAAAGUGAAAGACGGUCUUGCUGUCACUUAUAGAUGGAUCCGCGCUGCAUUAGCUAGUUGGUAAGGUAACGGCUUACCAAGGCAACGAUGCAUAGCCGAGCUGAGAGGGUGAUCGGCCACACUGGAACUGAGACACGGUCCAGACUCCUACGGGAGGCAGCAGUAGGGAAUCUUCCGCAAUGGGCGAAAGCCUGACGGAGCAACGCCGCGUGAGUGAUGAAGGUCUUCGGAUCGUAAAACUCUGUUAUUAGGGAAGAACAUAUGUGUAAGUAACUGUGCACAUCUUGACGGUACCUAAUCAGAAAGCCACGGCUAACUACGUG